AGUCGAGCGGGGGAAGGUAGCUUGCUACCGGACCUAGCGGCGGACGGGUGAGUAAUGCUUAGGAAUCUGCCUAUUAGUGGGGGACAACAUCUCGAAAGGGAUGCUAAUACCGCAUACGUCCUACGGGAGAAAGCAGGGGAUCUUCGGACCUUGCGCUAAUAGAUGAGCCUAAGUCGGAUUAGCUAGUUGGUGGGGUAAAGGCCUACCAAGGCGACGAUCUGUAGCGGGUCUGAGAGGAUGAUCCGCCACACUGGGACUGAGACACGGCCCAGACUCCUACGGGAGGCAGCAGUGGGGAAUAUUGGACAAUGGGGGGAACCCUGAUCCAGCCAUGCCGCGUGUGUGAAGAAGGCCUUAUGGUUGUAAAGCACUUUAAGCGAGGAGGAGGCUACUUUAGUUAAUACCUAGAGAUAGUGGACGUUACUCGCAGAAUAAGCACCGGCUAACUCUGUGCCAGCAGCCGCGGUAAUACAGAGGGUGCGAGCGUUAAUCGGAUUUACUGGGCGUAAAGCGUGCGUAGGCGGCUUAUUAAGUCGGAUGUGAAAUCCCCGAGCUUAACUUGGGAAUUGCAUUCGAUACUGGUGAGCUAGAGUAUGGGAGAGGAUGGUAGAAUUCCAGGUGUAGCGGUGAAAUGCGUAGAGAUCUGGAGGAAUACCGAUGGCGAAGGCAGCCAUCUGGCCUAAUACUGACGCUGAGGUACGAAAGCAUGGGGAGCAAACAGGAUUAGAUACCCUGGUAGUCCAUGCCGUAAACGAUGUCUACUAGCCGUUGGGGCCUUUGAGGCUUUAGUGGCGCAGCUAACGCGAUAAGUAGACCGC
rnacentral:rRNA from 1 species